GACGAACGCUGGCGGCGUGCUUAACACAUGCAAGUCGAACGAAGAGCGAUGGAAGCUUGCUUCUAUCAAUCUUAGUGGCGAACGGGUGAGUAACGCGUAAUCAACCUGCCCUUCAGAGGGGGACAACAGUUGGAAACGACUGCUAAUGCCGCAUACGAUCUGACCUCGGCAUCGAGGAUAGAUGAAAGGUGGCCUCUAUUUAUAAGCUAUCACUGAAGGAGGGGAUUGCGUCUGAUUAGCUAGUUGGAGGGGUAACGGCCCACCAAGGCGAUGAUCAGUAGCCGGUCUUGGAGGAUGAACGGCCAAAUUGGGAAUGGGACACGGCCCAAACUCCUACCGGGAGCAGCAAGGGGGGAUCUUCCGCAAUGGACGGAAGGCUGGCGGAGCAACGCCGCGUGAGUGAUGACGGCCUUCGGGUUGUAAAGCUCUGUUAAUCGGGACGAAAGGCCUUCUUGCGAAUAGUUAGAAGGAUUGACGGUACCGGAACAGAAAGCCACGGCUAACUACGUG
rnacentral:rRNA from 1 species